UGACCAUCUAUGGUAUAGUGGAUAAUUUAUCAGUAGUUUUUCUAUUUAUAAGUGUUCAUAAGUUUUUGUUUUAAUUUUUUAAAUAUAAUUUUUUAUGAAUUCUUAUUAAUCAUCAUUGAAAUUUUAACUUGCAUAUUAGAAUAGAUUUUUAUACAUCAAACAUUUUCAUUGGCAAACAUAAUAUUCUCUUCUUUUUCAUAUUCAAAAAAAUUAUUAAAACAAGAAAUUAAACAUAUGAAAUACAUUUCUGCUAAAUAUUUUAAUUUACUAGAGAAUGAUUGAUAAAUUAUUUUAAGAUUUUACAUUAUUUGUGGUUUGUUAUAAUCUUAUUAAAUUUUGUCAUGAUAUAGUUAAUUUUGUUGAUGUUAAUAAGAAAUCAAGAUAAGAAACAAAGUAUAUAACAAAUGUUCUGAUUAUUGUCAAAACAAGUUGUAUUUGAGACUUUUAAAUGUAUGACUGUAUUUUAGUAUUGAAAGAUUAUUCUGUAUGUAAAAACAAAAAAGCUUUAUUCUAUAUUAUUCAGAAAAUUGAAAAUGCUGUAAUUGACCAGUGGCUGAAGAUAAAGACAGUGUGUAGUGAUCAGAAUGUUUGCUAUAGUGUGAUGAUUGGCAGGUGUGGUUUCUUUGAAUGGAUGUAUCAUAAAAUGUUAAAAAAGGAAGUGCCUUCCUAUAAAGAAAUACAGUAAUAAUAUAAAAUUUUACUAUUUUCAUCAGCUGUAAAAAUUUCAGUUCUGAGUGCAAAUAUAAAACUCUGACUGCAACUACUCUUGUAGUAAUAAUAAAUGUCAAUAUGUUGUGCAUAAAAUGAAGAGAAAAAUGUCUUAUGAUGUUUGUCAUAUGAACGUUGGUGCUUUGUGCAAAUGAUGAUAAAUUCAGAAAGUGAUACAAAAAAUAUAUAUAAAUCUAAAUAUUUGACUUUUAAUUAGGUAAUUUUUGUAAGAUACUUAUGUAAAGUUGUAAAAAUGUUGUCAUUUGAAAAAUCUAGUGGAUAAUUUUUCUUCUUAAUAAACAGUUGCAAGGAAUACAUUUAUGAUAUGCCACAAUUUAUUUUCUGUUUGUAAAUUAGUCAAAGUAUGCUUAUUGUAUUUGAGUAUAUAUUACAAUGUUAUUCCCUGUGUGCGUGACUAUUAUGUAAUAAUAAUAAUAAUUAUUAUAAUAAAGUUUGAUAGUUUUUAUUUACAUAAAGAAGAAUGGUAUGUCUGACGUGAAUUGUAUGUUCAUUGAGGACUGUGUGUACGAUAGCUGAUUGUUUCAAUAAAAUCACUUUAUGGAACGAUUGCAGUAUGACUGUUUUUUGAUAGUGUGAGUGCAAACUAAAAAUUCACUCUUCCUUUCUUUUUUUUUUUUUUUUUUUUUUAAAUUUUGCACUCACUAACAUUAUUAACAAAGAG
rnacentral:lncRNA from 1 species